UGGGGAAUUUUGGACAAUGGGCGAAAGCCUGAUCCAGCCAUGCCGCGUGAGUGAAGAAGGCCUUCGGGUUGUAAAGCUCUUUUAGUCGGAAAGAAAAGAUCAUAAUGAACAAUUAUGAUUCAUGACGGUACCGACAGAAAAAGCACCGGCUAACUACGUGCCAGCAGCCGCGGUAAUACGUAGGGUGCGAGCGUUAAUCGGAAUUACUGGGCGUAAAGGGUGCGCAGGCGGUUUUGUAAGUCAGAUGUGAAAUCCCCGGGCUUAACCUGGGAAUUGCGUUUGAAACUGCAAGACUAGAGUGCAGCAGAGGGGAGUGGAAUUCCAUGUGUAGUAGUGAAAUGCGUAGAGAUGUGGAAGAACACCGAUGGCGAAGGCAGCUCCCUGGGUUGACACUGACGCUCAUGCACGAAAGCGUGGGGAGCAAACA
rnacentral:rRNA from 1 species